rnacentral:rRNA from 1 species
UAGGGAAUAUUGGACAAUGGGGGAAACCCUGAUCCAGCAAUGCCGCGUGAGUGAUGAAGGCCUUAGGGUUGUAAAGCUCUUUUACCCGGGAUGAUAAUGACAGUACCGGGAGAAUAAGCUCCGGCUAACUCCGUGCCAGCAGCCGCGGUAAUACGGAGGGAGCUAGCGUUGUUCGGAAUUACUGGGCGUAAAGCGCACGUAGGCGGCGAUUUAAGUCAGGGGUGAAAGCCCAGUGCUCAACACUGGAACUGCCCUUGAGACUGGAUUGCUUGAAUCACGGAGAGGUGGGUGGAAUUCCGAGUGUAGAGGUGAAAUUCGUAGAUAUUCGGAAGAACACCAGUGGCGAAGGCGGCCCACUGGACGUGUAUUGACGCUGAGGUGCGAAAGCGUGGGGAGCAAACAGG